UCAGCAGCUCCUUGGAGGCAGACUCUGUGGGUAGGACAGCACUGACUGGAAAGGGCAGACUGGGAACCAAGCUGCUGCUGGCUCUCUGACUGCAUGAAUGAAUCCCUGAGGAGGCUGUGGGGGUCUGUGUCAGGGGCAGGUGCUGAAACCCUGGGACUUCCUUUUCUUCAUGCUGAAACAUCCUUCCCACCUUCAGCCUGAGAGCAGCCGGGGAACAGGUAGGUCAGUGGGAGGAGUGUAUUCAAAUCUAGAGAGUUCACCUCUCCCCACUGUCACCCAACUGCACAGCUCCCAGGCCAGCCACGUCCACUUCCUGCUCCUGGUCGGCCUGAAGGUGCCCGUGUUCCUGUGCAUGGUCUGCGCUGUGGUGUGGGUGAGCGUGCGCUACAGGGGCAGCUCCAACGACUAGAUGCCACAGACACGCUCAUGACUGGCCUCCCUCGUGGACCUGGGAAGGACUGGGACCACCACAACGAUGCGCCCCGCUUUGCCCUGUGUUCUCCACCUCCCUGAUUGCCCUCUCCCUUACACUGGAGUGAAGUCAAUGGAGCCACCCUGGAAAGAGCCCCUUCCCACCGGACCAUAUCCAGGACCCUCAAGAGCAGAGUGAGGCCCAGACUUUGCAUGAGUCUCCACGGAUAGAAAAGAUGUGGCCCAGGGAGCAGUUGGACGCCGCUCUUGUGGGAGGAUUGUGUUGCUGCCUCUGGACGCAGAUGGGUCUGGGAACAACCCCUCUCACGUAACUGGGUACAGGGAUGUCAGGCCACCUGAGCUCCAAAGUGUCUGAAGUGUUAAAUCUUUUUUUGGGUGUCACUUACUGCAUCCAGGGGGAGGGUUGCCUUUGUGUCACCUUGGGUCUCAAUCCGCUUCUUGACUGAGCUCCUAGGAAAGACCCAACUGUUGCAGGGUCUCGCGGACAUGAGUGGACGGCAUCUAGCCCAACUGCAUCUGUAACAUGCCAUUUUGCCUCGAUCCCUUCUGCACAGAGAGCAUGUCAAUAAAUGGCCAUCUCUUUUCCUUGUCUAA